UCUAACAACAUCACAGCAGCUCGCUAGGCAGGCACUACUACUGCCAACCCAGUGGCCAUAGACCCUCAUGCUUAUGAUAGCAAUAGCCAGGCAUUGAUGUUCUGGCUGUCCAAAUGGACACAGCAGUUUGAAGGCUGAAAUACAGGAAAUACAGUUAGAAAAUGUUCUUAUGUAGGGAAUUACACUGGGUGUAAUUACAGUGGUAGUAUUUUGAAUUGCUGUUGUUUUCUGUAACAAAGAACAAUUUCUGCACAUCUCAGAUCUGAUAGUGUUUGCAUUUUCAGAUAAGCUGCUGCACACUGAGGCUGUAGGUUGACCCAAGAGAAAUUUGCUUCAUUGGAACGUUUUCUGAUUAAAAGAAGCCUUAAUGAAAGAUUGGUGCAUGCCAACUGCUGAAUCACAGCCUGAACCUCUGAUUGACCACCUGAGGCGAGCAAUGAGUCAGCCCUGGAAGCACAGGUGAAUUGCCUUCACCUCUGCUACUGGAAGGGUUGGAGCCUGGUUCCACCUUUUCUAGACCCAUUUAAGAGCUGACUGCCAGGGGGCAGGAUCUCUUCUGGAGAUCUCUCCUCUUGGAGUCUUCUCAGUGAGCCCAGGAUAAGGAGAGCUGAUAUUUCGGAGCAGGUGUUUGAGGAGCCAGUAGGUGUCCCUGACAUGUUGCCAGCUGUGCUGCAUUGCAUCUGCAGAGUGGGGAGGCUUUGGCCAUGGAAUUGCUCCAAGCUGUGAAGGCUUCUGGAUUGUGCAUACAUGUAUUCACUUACCUGUAACCUCUUGAACACACUUGAUGAGACCCGAGACCAAGCGAGACCCUCCAGCAAUGAUGAUCAGCCUUUCAUUCCACCCAGGCAGGGAGGACUGCACCAGGGGUUGGGCAGAGGCCCUGAGUCCCAUUGAGUCCCUCCUGCUCAAUAAUCCGCAUAGAUUCUACACAGCUCCAGUUUAAAGCCAGGCCAUCUGUGGGAAAGCAAUUAGACUAAAGCAUGUGAAAUAAUGCUUGGAAAAGUCACUUUCCAUCUUAGGGAAAAGGCUCCUGACUCUGGGAAAUAUUGUGGACUAUCUAGUACGGAUGGUUCCUCCAGAUAGCGCAUCGCAUGGAAAGCAGCUGUUUGUCAAUAGAUACGUUGAGUAAAGUUUUGGGGGAAAUUCAUGGUUACAGCUCCCUGCUGACUGAAGCAGAGAUACAAGACCCAAGGCUUUGCUUCUACAUAAAAUUGCUGUAUGGAGAAAAGCACAAGGGAUGCCUGUUGUGCUCCCCAUUACAGCCCCCACUGUGCCAUACACAUCCCUCAAGAUGGCCCUAGAGGCAGAGCAGCGUUGUCUGUAGUGCUUAGCUACCCUGAGAUGUCUAGCAGUGUAUGAUGUCGAACUUCAAACCCUGAACUUGAGGGAAUUUUUCUGAGUUUGGGAGCAGCAAGAGGUUAAUAAAAAUUCUUUGAGGUUGGAUAUAAUCCUAAUAUGCUAUAAGAUGUACUGGAGGUUUGGUUAACUUUUUUCACCUGUAAAUUGUAAUGGAAAAGAAUUUUAAAAGUUGUUUGCCAGUCAGGUAUGGAAUUAUGCUUAAGCCUACUUUUAUAAAUAUCAAUUUUUACAUUUCAUGGUGAAUAGGACUCGGGUUUUCACUUGCACUGAGUGUGGAGUGAGGUUAGUUUUUGUUGUUUUUUUUUCUCCCCACUGCAACAUGCAUUA